GGUUCCAUAGUGUAGUGGUUUUCAUGUUCGCUUCACACGCGAAAAUUCUCCGGUUCGAUUCCGGACAGAACUA